CUUUCUCAGUGCAUUUUUUUCCAUGUCAUCAAUCCUAAGACCCAAUGAAUAAAGUGGCACAGGUUUCUAGCAGCAGCUCAGAAUUACCAGGAGAUGAGUAUGAUGACAAAAAAGAGGAUAUUUGGGUUUUUAUAGUGCUCGUGAAAAGCAAAGCUACUAUAAGAACUCACUACAUCAACGCGUAUUCAUUAUUGAGACCAUCCUAGGAGAGCUGCAUCAUCACAGGCUGCUCUGAGGUCUGUGCCCAAUCAAGCAAAGAACAACGGAGAUAAUCACACUGUGCAGAGGGUGACCAAUUUAGAAAAAAAGGACUCUUAAGAAGAUCGUCCAACUUCCUUAAAUGACUUUCAUUAAUUUUACACCUUUUGCCAAUUAAUUGCACUUAUGAGCCUUGCUUGUCAAUUACUGCAUUCUCACUUUCAGCAAUUGAACUAAUCUUUGCCUAUUCAUAUUUUGUUUUUUAAAUAGGUAUUUCCAAUUAUUGAUAUAAAUCUUUAUGAUUACAUUACAAAUGUCUGACCAUAUUUAUUCAUUCUUCAUAGAGACAAAAUAAAGGUUCUAUUAUCUACACUUAAAACAUGUUGUACUUUUUUCUUUACAGCACAACUUACAAUAUUGUCCUUAUUUGGUGAUUAUUUUAAAACAAACAUAUUCCAUUUAAAAUACAAGCUCAACAACUACAGAUACAUUUAUGUUUGUAUGUGUAUAUAUAUAUACACACACACACACACACACGUAUUUUUCUUAUUCUGUUUUCAGUGUCUGCCUGCAUACAUG
rnacentral:lncRNA from 10 species